GGGAGCUCUCCCAUAUGGUCGACCUGCAGGCGGCCGCGAAUUCACUAGUGAUUGUUUGAUCCUGGCUCAGGAUGAACGCUAGCGACAGGCCUAACACAUGCAAGUCGAGGGGUAUAAGUAGCUUGCUACUUAGAGACCGGCGCACGGGUGAGUAACGCGUAUGCAACCUACCUUUUACUGGGGGAUAGCCCAAAGAAAUUUGGAUUAAUACCGCAUAAUAUAUUUGAAUCGCAUGGUUUAAAUAUUAAAACUUCGGUGGUAAAAGAUGGGCAUGCGUAGCAUUAGUUUGUUGGUGAGGUAACGGCUCACCAAGACUAUGAUGCUUAGGGGGUCUGAGAGGAUAGUCCCCCACACUGGUACUGAGACACGGACCAGACUCCUACGGGAGGCAGCAGUGAGGAAUAUUGGUCAAUGGGCGCAAGCCUGAACCAGCCAUGUCGCGUGCAGGAUGACGGCCCUAUGGGUUGUAAACUGCUUUUUUACAGGAAUAAACUUUGCUACGUGUAGCAAACUGAAGGUACUGUAAGAAUAAGGAUCGGCUAACUCCGUGCCAGCAGCCGCGGUAAUACGGAGGAUCCAAGCGUUAUCCGGAUUUAUUGGGUUUAAAGGGUCCGUAGGCGGGCUUUUAAGUCAGUGGUGAAAUCCCAGAGCUCAACUCUGGAACUGCCAUUGAUACUGAAGGUCUUGAAUUUAGUUGAGGUGGGCGGAAUACGUUAUGUAGCGGUGAAAUGCAUAGAUAUAACGUAGAACACCGAUUGCGAAGGCAGCUCACUAAGCUAACAUUGACGCUGAUGGACGAAAGCGUGGGGAGCGAACAGGAUUAGAUACCCUGGUAGUCCACGCCGUAAACGAUGAUUACUCGUUGUGCACGAUACACUGUGCGUGACUGAGCGAAAGCAUUAAGUAAUCCACCUGGGGGAGUACGUUCGCAAGAAUGAAACUCAAAGGAAUUUGA
rnacentral:rRNA from 1 species